rnacentral:tRNA from 1 species
GGGCUCGUGGUCUAGACGGUUAUGACGUCGCCUUCACACGGCGGAGGUCCUGAGUUCGAAUCUCAGCGGGCCCAC